rnacentral:lncRNA from 1 species
UUAAUUCUGACUAUCCCUAAUUACUCCCAAAUUGGGAAUUUCCAUUCUCAGAAAUCAAAAGUCGGGGAACAGAGACUCUGUGACACGUGCAGAGGUAGUGGCCUCUUUGUGGCGAGAGCGAUGGUGUUGCGGAGGCGCACUUCUUCCUUCCAUUUUCGCGUGUUGGUUCGACGUGCAGGGAAUCCUUCUUCUUCCUCUUAUUUAUGUCGUUUUCUAAUGCAAAGGGGAUGUGAGACAGUGGCAACGAAGAUGACGAUGGCAUUAACAUGGUGGUUAGCAAGGACAACGAUGACUUCGUGACUAGGGUUUCGAUUGGGGUUUUAGAAUUCUUUUUAUCCUUUGUUUUUCGCGAUUGUGGUUCUUGAUGGUCACAAAUUGGGAACUUAGGGAUUUGAUUUUAGGGUUUUUGAAAUUGGAAAUUUUUCCUUUGGGGUUUAUAUUCUUGAUUUUUCUGGUGUUGCGACUAGAGGGGUUGAGAUUUUCAUUUUUAGAUUGGAUUUUUGUGGUGGUUUCUACAUCGGCUGGCGGUGACCAUGAGGGUGGGGGCACAAGGAAGGAGAAAGGUUUCUACAUUUGAUUUUUGAGAAUGGAAAUUCCCAAUUUGGAAGUAAUUAGGGAUAGUCAGAAUUAAUUACCCCAAAUUCAAAUUUUAUUUCAACCCUAACUUCAAUAAAUUCCACGUCAUAAUUAUUUAUUAUUUUUACACAUCUAAUGAAGUCACACUGCCAGCACAGCCAAAACGUUACAAGUCAUCAAAUAUUUGCCAACUGCGCAGCUCU